rnacentral:rRNA from 1 species
AGAGUUUGAUCAUGGCUCAGAACGAACGCUGGCGGCGUGGAUAAGACAUGCAAGUCGAACGGGAACUUUCGUUGUAGCAAUACAGUGGAAGUUCUAGUGGCGAACGGGUGCGUAACACGUGGGCAAUCUACCGAGAAGUGGGGGAUAGCUCGCCGAAAGGCGAAUUAAUACCGCACGUGAUCAGAGGCGACAUCGUCUCGAAAUCAAAGCCGGGGGCAACCUGGCGCUUUUUUGUGGGGCCCGCGGCCUAUCAGCUUGUUGGUGAGGUAACGGCUCACCAAGGCUAUGACGGGUAGCUGGUCUGAGAGGACGACCAGUCACACUGGGACUGAGACACGGCCCAGACACCUACGGGUGGCAGCAGUCGAGAAUUUUUCUCAGUGGGGGAAACCCUGAAGGAGCGACGCCGCGUGGAGGAUGAAGGUCUUCGGGUUGUAAACUCCUGUCAUUUGGGAACAAGUGCCGGUACGUAACUGCUACCGGCUUGAUAGUACCAGAAGAGGAAGGGACGGCUAACUCUGUGCCAGCAGCCGCGGUAAUACAGAGGUCUCAAGCGUUGUUCGGAUUCAUUGGGCGUAAAGGGUGUGUAGGUGGCGCCGUAAGUGGGGUGUGAAAUUUCGGAGCUUAACUCCGAAACUGCAUUCCAUACUGCGGUGCUUGAGGACUGGAGAGGAGACUGGAGUUUACGGUGUAGCAGUGAAAUGCGUAGAUAUCGUAAGGAAGACCAGUGGCGAAGGCGGGUCUCUGGACAGUUCCUGACACUGAGACACGAAGGCCAGGGGAGCAAACGGGAUUAGAUACCCUAGUAGUCC